rnacentral:rRNA from 1 species
CAGCAGCCGCGGUAAUACGUAGGGUCCAAGCGUUAAUCGGAAUUACUGGGCGUAAAGCGUGCGCAGGCGGUUGUGCAAGACCGAUGUGAAAUCCCCGAGCUUAACUUGGGAAUUGCAUUGGUGACUGCACGGCUAGAGUGUGUCAGAGGGGGGUAGAAUUCCACGUGUAGCAGUGAAAUGCGUAGAGAUGUGGAGGAAUACCGAUGGCGAAGGCAGCCCCUGGGAUAACACUGACGCUCAUGCCACGAAAGCGUGGGGAGCAAACAGGAUUAGAUACCCUGGUAGUCCACGCCCUAAACGAUGUCAACUAGUUGUUGGGGAUUCAUUUCCUUAGUAACGUCSNCGCGUGAAGUUGVCCGCCUGGGGAGUA